rnacentral:rRNA from 1 species
GAUGAACGCUGGCGGCGUGCCUAAUACAUGCAAGUCGAGCGAAUGGAUUAAGAGCUUGCUCUUAUGAAGUUAGCGGCGGACGGGUGAGUAACACGUGGGUAACCUGCCCAUAAGACUGGGAUAACUCCGGGAAACCGGGGCUAAUACCGGAUAACAUUUUGAACCGCAUGGUUCGAAAUUGAAAGGCGGCUUCGGCUGUCACUUAUGGAUGGACCCGCGUCGCAUUAGCUGGUUGGUGAGGUAACGGCUCCCCAAGGCAACGAUGCGUAGCCGACCGUAGAGGGUGAUCGGCCACACUGGGACUGAGACACGGCCCAGACUCCUACGGGAGGCAGCAGUAGGGAAUCUUCCGCAAUGGACGAAAGUCUGACGGAGCAACGCCGCGUGAGUGAUGAAGGCUUUCGGGUCGUAAAACUCUGUUGUUAGGGAAGAACAAGUGCUAGUUGAAUAAGCUGGCACCUUGACGGUACCUAACCAGAAAGCCACGGCUAACUACGUGCCAGCAGCCGCGGUAA